AUUGAACGCUGGCGGCAUGCCUAACACAUGCAAGUCGAGCGGAGCGGCGGACGGGUGAGUAAUGCUUAGGACUCUGCCUGGUAGUGGGGGAUACCUUCCGGAACCGGGCGCUAAUACCGCAUCCUAUCAGAUGAGCCUAGGUCGGAUUAGCUAGUUGGUUGGGUAAAGGCCUACCAGGGCGACGAUCCGUAACUGGUCUGAGAGGAUGAUCAGUCAAACGGGAACUGAGACACGGUCCAGACUCCGACGGGAGGCAGCAGUGGGGAAUAUUGGACAAUGGGCGAAAGCCUGAUCCAGCCAUGCCGCGUGUGUGAAGAAGGUCGUCGGAUUGUAAAGCACUUUAAGUUGGGAGGCGUUACCAACAGAAUAAGCACCGGCUAACUGCGUGCCAGCAGCCGCGGUAAUAC
rnacentral:rRNA from 1 species